GCAAGUCGAACGGAAAGGCCUGCUUGCAGGGGUACUCGAGUGGCGAACGGGUGAGUAACACGUGGGUGAUCUGCCUUGUACUUCGGGAUAAGCCUGGGAAACUGGGUCUAAUACCGGAUAGGCUUUAGUGUGUGUGGUGGAAAGUUUUUUCGGUACAAGAUGAGCCCGCGGCCUAUCAGCUUGUUGGUGGGGUAAUGGCCUACCAAGGCGACGACGGGUAGCCGGCCUGAGAGGGUGUACGGCCACAUUGGGACUGAGACACGGCCCAGACUCCUACGGGAGGCAGCAGUGGGGAAUAUUGCACAAUGGGCGCAAGCCUGAUGCAGCGACGCCGCGUGAGGGAUGACGGCCUUCGGGUUGUAAACCUCUUUCGCUAGGGAAGAAGCCAUUGUGGUGACGGUACCUGGAUAAGAAGCACCGGCUAACUACGUGCCAGCAGCCGCGGUAAUACGUAGGGUGCAAGCGUUGUCCGGAAUUACUGGGCGUAAAGAGCUCGUAGGUGGUUUG
rnacentral:rRNA from 1 species